AUUUAAAAAAUAUAAAAAUAUAUACUAAAAUUGGAACGACACAGAGAAGUUUAGCAUGGCCCCUGCACAAGGAUGAUUUGCAAAUUCAUGAAGUGUUCCAUAUUUUA
rnacentral:snRNA from 1 species